AUUGCUUCUCAGCCUUUUGGCUAAAAUCAAGUGUAGUAUCUGUUCUUAUCAGUUCAAUGGUACAUAAAAAAAAAAUCAUUCAGCUCAAUCAAGUGGGAUUUAUUCCUGGCAUGAAAAGGUAUUUCAUUAUUCACAAAUCAAUCAAU
rnacentral:snRNA from 1 species